rnacentral:rRNA from 1 species
AAUAGAUACCCUGGUAGUCCACGCCGUAAACGAUGAGUGCUAAGUGUUAGGGGGUUUCCGCCCCUUAGUGCUGCAGCUAACGCAUUAAGCACUCCGCCUGGGGAGUACGGUCGCAAGACUGAAACUCAAAGGAAUUGACGGGGGCCCGCACAAGCGGUGGAGCAUGUGGUUUAAUUCGAAGCAACGCGAAGAACCUUACCAGGUCUUGACAUCCCAUUGACCACUAUGGAGACAUAGUUUUCCCUUCGGGGACAACGGUGACAGGUGGUGCAUGGUUGUCGUCAGCUCGUGUCGUGAGAUGUUGGGUUAAGUCCCGCAACGAGCGCAACCCUUGUUCUUAGUUGCCAUCAUUUUAGUUGGGCACUCUAAGGAGACUGCCGGUGACAAACCGGAGGAAGGUGGGGAUGACGUCAAAUCAUCAUGCCCCUUAUGACCUGGGCUACACACGUGCUACAAUGGACGGUACAAACGGUUGCCAACCCGCGAGGGGGAGCUAAUCCGAUAAAACCGUUCUCAGUUCGGAUUGUAGGCUGCAACUCGCCUACAUGAACG